rnacentral:rRNA from 1 species
AUUGAACGCUGGCGGCAUGCCUUACACAUGCAAGUCGAACGGCAGCACGGGUGCUUGCCCCUGGUGGCGAGUGGCGAACGGGUGAGUAAUACAUCGGAACAUGUCCUGUAGUGGGGGAUAGCCCGGCGAAAGCCGGAUUAAUACCGCAUACGAUCUACGGAUGAAAGCGGGGGACCUUCGGGCCUCGCGCUAUCGGGUUGGCCGAUGGCUGAUUAGCUAGUUUGUGGGGUAAAGGCCUACCAAGGCGACGAUCAGUAGCUGGUCUGAGAGGACGACCAGCCACACUGGGACUGAGACACGGCCCAGACUCCUACGGGAGGCAGCAGUGGGGAAUUUUGGACAAUGGGCGAAAGCCUGAUCCAGCAAUGCCGCGUGUGUGAAGAAGGCCUUCGGGUUGUAAAGCACUUUUGUCCGGAAAGAAAUCCUUGGCCCUAAUACGGUCGGGGGAUGACGGUACCGGAAGAAUAAGCACCGGCUAACUACGUG